rnacentral:rRNA from 1 species
ACACUCCUACGGGAGGCAGCAGUGGGGAAUAUUGGACAAUGGGCGCAAGCCUGAUCCAGCCAUGCCGCGUGAGUGAUGAAGGCCCUAGGGUUGUAAAGCUCUUUCACCGGUGAAGAUAAUGACGGUAACCGGAGAAGAAGCCCCGGCUAACUUCGUGCCAGCAGCCGCGGUAAUACGAAGGGGGCUAGCGUUGUUCGGAUUUACUGGGCGUAAAGCGCACGUAGGCGGACUAUUAAGUCAGGGGUGAAAUCCCGGGGCUCAACCCCGGAACUGCCUUUGAUACUGGUAGUCUUGAGUUCGAGAGAGGUGAGUGGAAUUCCGAGUGUAGAGGUGAAAUUCGUAGAUAUUCGGAGGAACACCAGUGGCGAAGGCGGCUCACUGGCUCGAUACUGACGCUGAGGUGCGAAAGCGUGGGGAGCAAACAGGAUUAGAUACCCCAGUAGUCCCAUA